rnacentral:tRNA from 1 species
UUAAAAAUAAUAUAAAUUAAUAUAUUUCAUUUACACUGAAAAAAUAGCUGAGAUCGCUUUUUUAAU